AGAGAGAGACAUGCGCGCAUAUCAAUAAGCGGAGGAAAAGAAACUAACUAGGAUUCCCUCAGUAACGGCGAGUGAAGCGGGAAGAGCUCAAAUUUGAAAUCUUCAAGGGUUCUACCUUUACGAAUUGUAGUUUAAAGAAGUGUUUUCUGUUGAGGUUUUGGUAAAAGUUCUUUGGAAUAGGACAUCAUAGAGGGUGAGAAUCCCGUAUUUGACCAUUACUUUCCAACUUUGUGAUACACUUUCAAAGAGUCGGAUUGUUUGGGAAUGCAGUCCAAAAUGGGUGGUAAAUUUCAUCUAAAGCUAAAUACUGGCGAGAGACCGAUAGCGAACAAGUACCGUGAGGGAAAGAUGAAAAGAACUUUGAAAAGAGAGUUAAACAGUACGUGAAAUUGUCAAAAGGGAAGCGUUUGACACCAGUGUUGUUUUCUCGAAAAUCAAUUAAAAAAGGCAGGAUUUUGUGUUGUAUUGACUUUAUCAGCUUUCUGCACUCUUUUCUUGUCUUUUUUUAAUGCACUUUUCGUUUAACAAGUCAACAUCAAUUUCUUUUGUUGUAAAAGGGUCAUUGGAAGGUGGCUUUCUUUUCGGAGAAAGUGUUUAUAGCCUUUGGCCUCUGCAAUCGGAGAGAUUGAGGUCUGCAGCGUAGAUCCUUCGGGGUUAGAUACAUUUGUGCUAAGUUAUAGCCUUUCAUAGACAGCUUGUUGACUAUGAUCAGUCAUGUAGCUUACUCGCUUAUGCUAUUUUACCUACGCUUAGGAUGUUGAUGUGAUACUGCGAGCA
rnacentral:rRNA from 1 species